AGCUCCGCCACACAGUCGCUGGAAGGCAAGCUGAGAGCUUCGUCCAGUCUGCUCUGCCUCCAUCUGUCCAUCCAGAAGGGCCAGCGCUGAACGGUCGGGUGCCACAGGAAUAUGACCAGGGUGCAAGCCUAAGUCGCCAAGAGACUGGACUGCGCGCACUUUGCUCAGGGCAUUGGUGAUUCAGCACAAAAUGAGGAAGCCUCAGCACUUGCCACUAGUUGCCCUCCUGGGCUUGGCAUUGGUAACCUGGCACUCCCCUGUCAAAGCUCAGGCUGCUGUGCAGGUGAGCAGGAGGGACAUCGUAUUCCUUAUAGACGGUACAGCCAACAUGGGCAACACCUUUUUUGUGAGCAUUCGAGAUUUUAUCACCAGAUUAUUGAAGAGCUUCCAAUCGGACCAGACUUGUUCAGGUUGCUGUGGCACAGUUCACUCAAUGACGUGAGAGUCGAGUUUGACCUUAACACCCACGAUUUCGACCGAAGCAGCCGCCGAGGCGGCUCCGCAAGUUGAAAAUAGACGAGGUGGGCAAGUGGCCAAUGUAGGCGCUGCCCUGGAGUUUGUCAAGAACAACAUGUUCACAAGUGCCAAAGGCAGCAGGAAGGAUGACAAUGUGCCACAGCUCUUCAUGAUUCUGAGUGCCAGCAGGUCCGCCAGAUGACUUCCACAAGCCGCUGCAGAGCUCAAAGCAAGCGGGGUUCUAACUCUUGCCGCUGGCUCCAAGAAAGCUGACCCUAACGACCUCCAGCAGAUUGCACUGGAUAAAGACCACCGUGUUCAUGUUUUAAAGAUUUCCGAAUACUCUCCAGAAACCCAAAAACAAUAAAGGACCUGCUGAAGACCCUGUCUGGAACCAUAAGCACCGAGGGACCGACCGAAGUUAUAGAAACAACAACAUCAGUGCGAAAAGUCGUCAGAGACAUUGUCUUCCUUGUUGAAGGGAUCUAGCUCGGUCAAUACUCCCAACUUUAUCCUCUUCCGUGAUUUAUCACCCAGCGUUAUCAGAAAUCUGCCAGUUAGGCCUGGAUCGAGUUCGGAUUGGCCUGCGACAGUUCAGCAAUGAUCAGCGUGAUGAGUUUUUCCUGAAGGAUUACUCCCACUCAAGAAGAAGUUCUUGCAAGAGUUGGAAAGCUGCGCCAAAAGGGUGGCCAGCCUGUAAAUACUGGUGCUGCCCUCGACUAUGCACUCAAGAACCAUUUUACAAGUGCAGGCGGGUUCAAGGAAACAUGAGAGGGUUCAACAGGCUCUCGUGCUCAUUACACAGCAAAUCAAGAGAUGACGUGAAGGGUGCCUGCUGAUAGCUCGCUGCCUCUGGUGGGUUAGUGUACACGGUUGGAGUGGGGCCGUGCUGAUUCCCAGUAUUUGGAGUCAAUUGCUUU